rnacentral:rRNA from 1 species
GACGAACGCUGGCGGCGUGCUUAACACAUGCAAGUCGAACGGAAAGGCCCUGCUUUUGUGGGGUGCUCGAGUGGCGAACGGGUGAGUAACACGUGAGUAACCUGCCCUUGACUUUGGGAUAACUUCAGGAAACUGGGGCUAAUACCGGAUAGGAGCUCCUGCUGCAUGGUGGGGGUUGGAAAGAUUCGGCGGUUGGGGAUGGACUCGCGGCUUAUGAGCUUGUUGGUGGGGUAGUGGCUUACCAAGGCUUUGACGGGUAGCCGGCCUGAGAGGGUGACCGGCCACAUUGGGACUGAGAUACGGCCCAGACUCCUACGGGAGGCAGCAGUGGGGAAUAUGGCACAAUGGGCGGAAGCCUGAUGCAGCAACGCCGCGUGCGGGAUGACGGCCUUCGGGUUGUAAACCGCUUUCGCCUGUGACGAAGCGUGAGUGACGGUAAUGGGUAAAGAAGCACCGGCUAACUACGUG